UACGAGGGGGGCAAGCGUUGUUCGGAAUUACUGGGCGUAAAGGGCGCGUAGGCGGCAGGCCAAGUCGGGAGUGAAAGCCCGGGGCUCAACCCCGGAAUGUCUUUCGAAACUGGCCAGCUGGAGUGCGGAAGAGGCAACUGGAAUUCCCAGUGUAGCGGUGAAAUGCGUAGAUAUUGGGAAGAACACCUGAGGCGAAGGCGGGUUGCUGGGCCGACACUGGCGCUGAGGCGCGAAAGCCAGGGGAGCAAACGGG
rnacentral:rRNA from 1 species